rnacentral:pre_miRNA from 1 species
UGGUGAGAAUGCCCCUGUUGGAGAAGCAGGGCACGUGCAAAGAUCGGAGCACGUUUCGUAUGUGAUGUACGUAUGUGCAUGGAUCGCUGUGCACGCGCUCCCCUUCUCCACCAUGGCCUUCUUACCA